UACGUAGGGUGCGAGCGUGUCCGGAAUUACUGGGCGUAAAGAGCUCGUAGGCGGUGUGUCACGUCGGCCGUGAAAACCUGCAGCUUAACUGUGGGCGUGCGGUCGAUACGGGCAUCACUGGAGUUCGGCAGGGGAGACUGGAAUUCCUGGUGUAGCGGUGAAAUGCGCAGAUGUCAGGAGGAACACCGGUGGCGAAGGCGGGUCUCUGGGCCGAUACUGACGCUGAGGAGCGAAAGCGUGGGGAGCAAACAGG
rnacentral:rRNA from 1 species